CGAGACCUUUUCACAUUAUCACCUGUACUGGACCAGUGCCAUGUUUUCGGGUUUGUGUCGAGUCUUUGAGGGCUACAUACAACGCACAACACAUAAGACCAUCAGAUCCACUGGGAGGAGCAGUUCCUGGAGUUGCUAAGCUCUUGGUGGAACUGAGCAGGUUAAGAGUGCGGCUGUUGGACUUUGGACUGCCCGGAGGGUCGCCGGUUCAAUUCCUUGACCAAGCACAAUGGAUAUGCACAACGGAUAUGGGUGGUGGUGAAGGAGACGCACCCCCCCACCUCUGCGACCCCA